GUCAACGUGCCAGAGUGGUUAAUGGGUAUGACUCGAAUAUUCUUACAGAAGCUAGAUAUCAUAUGACUUCGGUCGCGUAGGUUCAAAUCCUGCCGUUGACG
rnacentral:tRNA from 1 species